rnacentral:rRNA from 1 species
GAUGAACGCUGGCGGCGUGCCUAAUACAUGCAAGUCGAGCGAACAGAUGAGAAGCUUGCUUCUCUGAUGUUAGCGGCGGACGGGUGAGUAACACGUGGGUAACCUACCUAUAAGACUGGGAUAACUCCGGGAAACCGGGGCUAAUACCGGAUAAUAUUUUGAACCGCAUGGUUCAAUAGUGAAAGACGGUUUCGGCUGUCACUUAUAGAUGGACCCGCGCCGUAUUAGCUAGUUGGUAAGGUAAGGGCUUACCAAGGCGACGAGACGUAGCUGACCUGAGAGGGUGAUCGGCCACACUGGAACUGAGACACGGUCCAGACUCCUACGGGAGGCAGCAGUAGGGAAUCUUCCGCAAUGGGCGAAAGCCUGACGGAGCAACGCCGCGUGAGUGAUGAAGGUCUUCGGAUCGUAAAACUCUGUUGUUAGGGAAGAACAAAUUUGUUAGUAACUGAACAAGUCUUGACGGUACCUAACCGGAAAGCCACGGCUAACUACGUGCCAGCCGCCGCCGUAA